GAUAAGCGCCGGUAAGGUGAUAUGAACCGUUAUAACCGGCGAUACCCGAAUGGGGAAACCCAGUGUGAUUCGUCACACUAUCAUUAACUGAAUCCAUAGGUUAAUGAGGCGAACCGGGGGAACUGAAACAUCUAAGUACCCCGAGGAAAAGAAAUCAACCGAGAUUCCCCCAGUAGCGGCGAGCGAACGGGGAGGAGCCCAGAGCCUGAAUCAGCAUGUGUGUUAGUGGAAGCGUCUGGAAAGGCGCGCGAUACAGGGUGACAGCCCCGUACACAAAAGCGCAUGUGCUGUGAGCUCGAUGAGUAGGGCGGGACACGUGGUAUCCUGUCUGAAUAUGGGGGGACCAUCCUCCAAGGCUAAAUACUCCUGACUGACCGAUAGUGAACCAGUACCGUGAGGGAAAGGCGAAAAGAACCCCGGCGAGGGGAGUGAAAAAGAACCUGAAACCGU
rnacentral:rRNA from 1 species